rnacentral:misc_RNA from 1 species
UCAUAUAAUCACCAAUAUCUUCAUGUUCCAGAUUGGCUUUAUCCUUCAACAGAAGCACGUUUAUCUAAUAAACAAUCAGGACCAUUAGGCAUGGCAGAUUGGCUUUAUCCUUCAACAGAAGCACGUUUAUCUAAUAAACAAUCAGGACCAUUAGGCAUGGCAGUUUCAGAUUGGCUUGAUUCUCCAACAAUAGCACGUUUCAUCUAAUGAACUAUCAGAACCAUAUGGCAUUGCAGUAUUUAUCCUGGGAGUCAAGUAGGAAAACCAGAUUUUACAACAGAAAAUAAACAAAAAGCUGUAUCGUAAAAUGCUAUUAUUUUUGUGUGCUUACAGUGAUACAGAAACAACAUUACAAGUACUAUAUUUACAGAUAACAUCUGUAUAAUAAAAAAAGCACUAAAAGUUUAAUGUUGAAAAAAGGAUAAA